AUGCGCGUAUUUGUCAUUUGGAUUGUGUGGGGAGCAUGCCUGAUAGAUCACAAUCAUGGAGAUACCGUCACACAAUCGCUGCCGUCAGCACAGAAGGUGGAAGGAGAGUCGAUGACUUUCAGCUGCACCUAUGAUACCGCAGAAACGUACUACAACUUAUUUUGGUACCGGCAGCAUCAGGAUUCAAGGCCCGAGUUCAUACUGAGGAAAAAUUCACAUGGAAACGAGGAGAAAGCCGGUUUUGCAGGCGCUCGCUUCUCUUCCCAGCUCCAGACCGAUCGAAAAUUAGUCAGUUUAACCCUUUCGGAGCUGGAGCUGAGCGACUUUGCAGUUUAUUACUGCGCCUUUAGCCGCACAGUGAUGGAAACCAGUGAAACCUUCAUACAAAAACAUCAGCUUCUGCUUUGCCUGCUACAGCGAGAGACGUCUGUACGGCGCUUGCUAUUUGUGGUUUUCCGACGUCUGAGAAUUCUUCCCAACUCACUCAGUUUCUCUCGAGGGCGGCUUGCGGUAUCAUCGGCGCAGCUGAAACCCACCGACUCCAUUUCUGUGCUCCGUGCUGAGGGCGGCAUCUGUGUGAACAGAAUCGCCAUUUAUGGUGUCUGGAAAACACAUGGACUGGGUUUAGAUUUAUAA